AUGGACUACCAACCGAUCAUAUCGACACUGGACGUUCGCGUUGAACCCAUCACAGUCGACGCCCUCUUCUCCAUGGUGGCCAACUUCGACCAGAGGGUCGAGAUGUUCCACGGGAACGGCGCCGGGGGCUUCAAAUCCUUGGCCAAUCUCGCCUCUCGAGGGCGUGGCGGCGGCAAGGGCUCCUACCGCAACCAGAAGGGCAGUGGUGGCUCGCGUGGUGGCUACGGUGCCAGCAGCGGUGGUGGCGACUACAAUCCUGGCGGCGGCUACAACCUUGGCGGCGGCUCUGCCGCUGGACACGGUGCCGGAAACGGUGGCGGUCAUCAUGGCGGAUACCCUGAUGGUGGCGGCGGCUACUAUCAUGGGGGUGGUGGCGGCGGCCACCACCAACAGCACCCUGACGGCAACAACAACAGGCGGGCUCCUCCUAACAGAGGGAGAGACUUCCAGGGCUAUGAAGGUUAUGAGGGUAAAUGUCAAAUAUGCAAAAAAAACUAA
rnacentral:rRNA from 1 species